ACCUGUGGGGGAAGUACAGUCAGCGCUGUGGCCAGGAGUUCCUGGCUCCUCCUCCAGAGAAAAUCCGAAAAGUCCUAAGCCUCAGGGCCAAAACCCAGGCCCCAGCCUGCGGCUGCCCUCCCUGGAGCUGCUACACCCCUCUGGAGGACCCUCUCCCUUCUCUGCUCAGCUUUUCAUCCCCCUUGUGUAGUUGAGGCCUGGAGACGGCAAAAAGUCCGUCCGCCUUCGGGCCCCAGGAGGAAGCACCAGGCAUGUCCUCGGACCGUCCUUAAACUCGGACCGUCCAACCGAGCCCAUCGCUGGCCUGGUGCCAGCUUUCUUCCCGUGCGCCGCUUUCUGAAGCAGUCCAACCACCCCUCAGCCACCUGGGUUCAAAACCCUCCCCGAGGCCAGUCUCCUCUCUUUCCUGGCCUCCCCACUUCCAACCGGCAACCAAGGGCGACUCCUCAACAAUGUCCCUCACCCCCAUCCCCAGCAUUGGCAGUGCGGGUCAUUCUCCUCGCAUUAUGGUGCGGCGGCCUCCACGCUGGGCCCCCACCUGCAGUCCGGCCUCCACCUGACACCCAAAAUUGUCCUCCUGGAGCCUGCUUCUGAACGUGUUGGAAUCUGGCUCAAAACAUGUCCUGUCUCCCUCCUAUCCGAAGGAUAAAGUCUGAACUUCCUAGUCAAGCCCCACAGGAGAAAUUUCCUUUCAAUAUUUAAUGCCAGCUCUCAGAAGCAGGUGGUGGGAGUGUGAGCCGCUACCAACUUUCUGGAAAGCAAUUUGGCAAUAGGCAUCAAAAGCCUUAAGAACUCAUACUUGAAGAAGAAAGGAGGAGGAGAAGAAGGUCUCAUACUUUUUUUUUUUAAUUAAAAAAAAUUUUUUAAUGUGUAUUUAUUUUUGAGAGAGACAGACAGACAGAGUGCAAGGGGGGAGAAGCAGAGAGAGAGGGAGACGCAGAAUCUGAAGCAGGCUCCAGGCGCUGAGUUGUCAGCACAGAGCCCAACGCGGGGCUCGAACCCACGAACCCUGAGAUCUUGACCUGAGCUGAAGUUGGACGUUCAACCGACUGAGCCACCCAGGCGCCCGGGUCUCAUACUUUUUUGACUCAGAAAUAUAUCUCCUUCUAAUAAUUAUCUUCAGGAAAUAAAGAUGUGGGCCUAGAUAAUAAAAGGAUGGGAUCUCAGUGAUAUUUACACUAAGAAACAGCAGAAAUCAACCUUAAUGUCCAACAGUAUGGAACUGGAUAAAUUACAGCAUGUCCAUACGAUGGAACCCGAUACAAACAUUUUUAAAUAGUUUAAAGACUAUUUAGUAACAUGGAAAAUGCCUCACCAGUGCUGACAUCAGCCUUCAAAAUUGUACACGUGUUAGUCCCAACUUUCAAAACCCUACAUAUAUACACACGCAUAGUGAUACACGUAGAGAUAGGACUACAGUGGGGCACCCGGGUGGCUCAGUCGGUUGAACGUCCAGCUUCGGCUCAGGUCAUGAUCUCCCGGUUUGUGGGCUCGAGCCCCAUGUCGGGCUCUGCGCUGACAGCUCAGAGCCUGGAGCCUGCUUCGGAUUCUGUGUUUCCCUCUCUCUCUGCUCAACCCCCACUCGUACCUGUCUCUCUCUGUCUCAAAAAUAAAUAAACAUUAAAAAAUUUAAAAAAAAGAAAAGAAA